GAAAAAACAAAUAUAGUGAUCAGAUUGAUAAAUAAUCUUUUUUUUUACUGUCAGAUCAGAUAUUUUUCACUACUGGUUGGGAGCCAGUAUCCGGACAGGACCAGUUUCCAGACACAUGUAAUAACCGCUUUAUUUCGUUGUUAUUCAGGUAAUUGUUGUACCCCCCGACAACAAAGUUGUAAGGGGGGUAUACUGGUUUCAGGUUGUCUGUCUGUCUGUCGUCUGUCCGUAGCUGCAAUCUUGUGCGCACCAUCUCUCCUUAUCCCCUUGACAGAAUUUAAUGAAACUUCACACAAGUGAUCAGUACCAACAGUAGUUGUGCAUGGUGCAUGUUAGGUUCUUUUAGAAAAAACAUUUGCAGAGUUAUGGGACUUUGUUUUUUUGUUACUAUACUAUAUACAUAGACACAAUCUUGUGCGCACCAUCUCUCCUCAUCCCCUUCACACAAUUUAAUGAAACUUCACACAAGUGAUCAGUACCAACAGUAGUUGUGCAUGGGACAUGUUAGGUUCUUUUAGAAAAAAAAAUUGCAGAGUUAUGGGACUUUGUUUUUUUGUUACUAUACUAUAUACAUAGACACAAUCUUGUGCGCACCAUCUCUCCUCAUCCCCUUGACACAGUUUAAUCAAACUUCACACAAGUGAUCAGUAACAACAGUAGUUGUGCAUGGGGCAUGUUAGGUUCUGUCAGAAAAAAAAUUUGCAGAGUUAUGGGACUUUGUUUUUUUGUUACUAUACUAUAUACAUAGACACAAUCUUGUGCGCACCAUCUCUCCUCAUCCCCUUGACACAAUUUAAUGAAACUUCACACAAGUGAUCAGUAACAACAGUCGUUGUGCAUGGGGCAUGUUUGGUUCUUUCAGCGACAAAAAUUGCAGAGUUAUGGCACUUUGUUUCUUGUUAACAUACUAUGUACAUACAGUCUGCAUAUGCAAUCUUGUGCGUGCCUAAUCUACCAAACCCUUGCACACAAUUUAAUGAAACUUCACACAAGUGAUCAGUACCAACCCUAGUUGUGCAUGGUGCAUGUUACAUUCUUUUAGAUAAAUAUUCUGCAUAGUUAUGGCACUUUGUUUUUUGUUACUAUACUGUAUACAUACAGUCUAUAUACAUACAGUCUACAUAAUUAUGCAAUAUUGUGUGCAUCAAAUUGCAAUGUACUGUGUCAGUGCAUGCGGGGGGUACAUUCCUCACCUUAAGUGAUAGCUCUAGUUUCAUCUAGAUCAUUUAGAUGUUUGUUCUUCAUGUCUACAACAAACCACUAUAUUACAAGUCUGUAUAAUGUUACAUUUUAUGAUGAUACCUCAUCUGUGUUUACAAAACAACUUGCUGUCUUAAUGGGGCAUGAAGAUAGCAUUGCGCAUGCGCAGUAGUUUACACUUGGCGAGGUAUCAAGUGUGGAAGAAAUAAUUAAACUACAUAUUGAUUGUCUGCUGACAUGUACUACUUUUAAUUUCAUGGUAAUAGUUACAUAAAAUGCAGGGCUGUUGAUUUUUGCACUAAUUUUAUUCUAUAUCUAUUGGAAUUAUCAAGAAUUCGUGUUAGGCGAAAUUCAAGUUUUUUAAUGUCAGCCUCUGUUUGCUUUCGUAGCUGCUAUUGAACGUCUGGUUAUGUUUCAUAUGCAUUUUUGGAGAGAUUUAUGAUAAUGAAAUGUGUAAAAAUAGUUUAAUUACUUAUCUCGAUAUCAAAAUAACAGCAAAACAUCAUCAAAAUAUUUGUCCGGAUACUGGUUUACCUCACGGGGAAAAUAACUUCUUUUUGUGACCCCAUUUGAGGCCCCAUGGAACCCAUAUUUUACGUCACAAUGCGAUGCUGAUUACAACAUCGGAUGCAGAAGGAGCUGAAGUUUGUGUUAUAGGUAGAAUGUUCACCAUUUAUGGUCAACUUAUGAAGUUUGGAGAGAAUAGUCAAGUUUUUUUCAUGAAUACAUAUAAGAGUUAUUUUCACCGCCAGGUAUGAGUGGCUUUAAGCCACAAGUUUAAUAUAAUUUUUAUAUACCAUGAGAUGAAAAUAAAAACCAUAUUUGUGACAAGCACUUGUAUUUUACUGUUCAUUAUAUACUCCAGUGGUUGAAAAACAUCAUUUGUUUAUAUUUUGAACUAUCGACAGCAACAAUACCUUUUCUGUGCGGCCUGUAUUAAGUCCUAUUUUUGAAAUGUAUGAAAAGAUAUAAAAAAUUGCUGCUUCGUCAAAGAUAUGUAACAGAAUGUUAAGCUGUACUGUUGCAGUUCCCUAUAAUAGUUCCACAAAUGAUUGCUCUUUCAAAUUGCGGGCAUCUCAAAUAGAAAGUGAAACAAUGUAUUGCAUAAUAUUAAUUUGUAGUCAACACAGAAGAUACCUGAAUAAUAUUUUGGCAAAUAAUUGCGAUUUAAAGUUAACUUAAAUUUUUAAAAAAAUCUCAAAACCAUUUACUUUCAGAAGUUUGUCAUAUAUGUUGUCGUAAAUUCUCAUAUUUGGUUCCGAUUGAACAUUAAAAUUUUUAUGGUAUAUUACUUUCUUAAUUGUAAACAAUGAUCUCAUUUGUAUGCCAUUACAUACAUGUAAUCAUGGUUUUUCUCAUAUGAGUGAUAAUAUCCUUUCACAGCUAAUGAAGCUGUAUUGUACCAAUACAUCAAACAUUUAACAUCUCAGAUUGAUCCAAGCAUUAAUUAUCUGAGAAAUGAUU